rnacentral:rRNA from 1 species
UAGUCAUAUGCUUGUCUCAAAAAUUAACCCAUGCAUGUCUAAGUAUAAGCAAUCUAUACGGUGAAACUGCGAAUGGCUCAUUAAAUCAGUUAUCGUUUAUUUGAUAGUACCUUACUACUUGGAUAACCGUGGUAAUUCUAGAGCUAAUACAUGCUAAAAACCCCGACUUCGGAAGGGGUGUAUUUAUUAAAUAAAAAACCAAUGCCCUUCGGGGCUCCUUGGUGAUUCAUAAUAACUUAACAAAUCGCAGGGCCUUGUGCCGGCAAUGGUUCAUUCAAAUUUCUGCCCUAUCAACUUUCGAUUGUAAGGUAGUGGCUUACAAUGGUUUCAACGGGUAACGGGGAAUUAGGGUUCUAUUCCGGAGAGGGAGCCUGAAAAACGGCUACCACAUCCAAGGAAGGCAGCAGGCGCGCAAAUUACCCAAUCCCGACACGGGGAGGUAGUGACAAUAAAUACUGAUACAGGGCUCUUUUGGGUCUUGUAAUUGGAAUGAGUACAAUUUAAAUCCCUUAACGAGGAACAAUU